rnacentral:rRNA from 1 species
UCGGGUUGUAAAGCACUUUUGUCCGGAAAGAAAACUUCUGCCCUAAUACGGCGGGAGGAUGACGGUACCGGAAGAAUAAGCACCGGCUAACUACGUGCCAGCAGCGCGGUAAUCGUAGGGUGCGAGCGUUAAUCGGAAUUACUGGGCGUAAAGCGUGCACAGGCGGUUCGUUAAGACAGAUGUGAAAUCCCCGGGCUUAACCUGGGAACUGCAUUUGUGACUGGCGAGCUAGAGUAUGGCAGAGGGGGGUAGAAUUCCACGUGUAGCAGUGAAAUGCGUAGAGAUGUGGAGGAAUACCGAUGGCGAAGGCAGCCCCCUGGGCCAAUACUGACGCUCAUGCACGAAAGCGUGGGGAGCAAACAGGAUUAGAUACCCUGGUAGUCCACGCCCUAAACGAUGUCAACUAGUUGUUGGGGAUUCAUUUCCUUAGUAACGUAGCUAACGCGUGAAGUUGACCGCCUGGGGAGUACGGUCGCAAGAUUAAAACUCAAAGGAAUUGACGGGGACCCGCACAAGCGGUGGAUGAAGGUGGAUUAAUUCGAUGCAACGCGAAAAACCUUACCUACCCUUGACAUGGUCGGAACCCUGCUG